AUUCGAAAGUCCUAUAUUGAAAAUACAAUUCAAAGUAUCAAAAUUCUUCCAAUAUAUUAACCAAAAUAUACUAAGAUUAGGGUAAAAUAUAUAAUAUAAAAUCUACUCAUCAUUGGUUUAGGAAGAGUUAGCAAGGACAGAGUUUAAAAAGAACUAGAGAGGGAGUGGAGAGAUUGUUCGGGAGUUGCAACAUUUAUCACCAAAUCAAUGAGUUUUUGUAACAGUUUUCCAUUAUGAUAAUUAUUUGUAAUUUAGUCAGUAAUUAGUAUAUGGCUGUUACCAUUAAACAGAGAGAAACUGACAAGACUUCAUUGGGUAAACAAAUAUUAGAAUCUUAUUGCUUUUACUGGUCUCUCUCACCCUAUGCGUAUUUUGUGUUGGUCUGUUAACGCUUAGCUCUACCAGUGUAUGUUAUAUACUGCAUUUCACAUGUUUAUUGUGAAAACUGAAACCCAAAUAAUUCAAAAUUUUGUAAAUACUAGCUAGUUAUGUUGUUGCAGUGGGUUCAACUUACAUGUCAUGUAGCAAAACUUACAAAUUUAUUGUGACAGAAAAAUUAUGCUAACUGUUAGUUCUGAUAUUGUGGUAGGCUCGACAUACAUGUUAUGUUGCGGAAUAUACAU
rnacentral:lncRNA from 1 species